UGCGUGACAUUUCAGGAUCCAGUACCGAAUCGGUGGUAAGGCCACAGCAGUGCCUAUCCCCUCCAUAUGCCGAACCACCUCUGGUAGUGACAGGGUCAAGUAUCUGCGACGUGGGGCGGCCAGAGCAAUGCGUCGCUAGGGAUGCUUGUGGCCGAGUCCUGGAUGGUGCCGCGCUGGAGAGACCUGCGGCAGCGAACACGCUUGUACCACCCACAUGAUUCGGCGGAGUGCCGGCGUGGCUCGGACGCGUCUCUCACCCCCCCCGCCGUCUGCACACUGCCUACUGGUGGUGGGGAGCGUGAGUGUCACCCGACGAGGAGGGGGAGGGGGAAUGUACCAGAGGUGGCGGCCGGCGUGAUUGGAGGAGCGGCUGUGAGCCGGCCUGCGAGGCGGCCGUGAUGGGUAGAGUAUGUGGGCCGGGCCCGUGCACUGGUGACCGAGUCGUUGCGUUGCUGCAACGCGCGUUUCCAGCGCUGCUUCACACCAGGCGAUGGGGCGUGUGACAGGGCCGCUGUGGAGUGAAGCUGAGCUCGUGCUGUAUGGCAGAGAGCGAACACACUGCAUAUAGAAGUGCCGUGCACGUUGUCCCUGUCCCACGGAAUCGCCCCCACGCAGAUGUUCAUGCACUUCUGAGAGCUUCUGAACCUCCUCCUCAAGUUGUUUGUGUUUUUGUAUCUACUCCUGCGGUGCAG
rnacentral:misc_RNA from 1 species